UAUUUUCAGACACAUUCCUUUUUUUCUUCUACCUCUGUCUCUUCCAGGAUUAUUCAUAGAAGCAGUCAUGACCAGGCUUUCCCAGCCAAAAUGAGCAGAAGGGGGAUUUUGUUUCUAUGGAGAGAUCCAGAGCAAGAGAGUGCUACAUAUCUGCUGACCCAUCCUCUUCCCUGAGUGCAUCUGCACCAUCAUGUUGGUUCACAUCUCCAGUCUGUGCAGAACCCUGAGCUCUCUGAUCAUCAGUGCCACUUUUAAGCUCAUUUUCUGGCUCUCAUCUUCGCUGAGCUAACUGGCUCUCCAGGCAGAGCAGAUUCAGGAAUCCAGAAGGGGUGGGAGAUGAUCUUGUCUUCUGGUUAGCACAUGCAUUUGAAACACCUACUGCUAGUUCUGCCCCAUGUAUAUAAAGGAAUAGAUAUAGCUUCAUUUUCCUAUGAUACACACUCAUAUAACAUAAACAUGAGAAAUAUUGUGUUAUAUAUUAUUUCUUAAGUACAAGUCUAACAAGAAGAGUAAUAAACCUGAGGGAGGACAAGAGAAGGAAAUUCUGUCUGAAUAUCCUGUAGACCUUUUCUGCAUCAAAAGGACGUGGUUCAACUUUGGAUUCUCAUUACAGACUAUGUAAAAUGUCACUAAAACUAAAAUAGACCCUAAACAGCUGCACUGCAAGACAGAUUUCAGCCUUAUUUCCUUCUCCCACACUGACCUGACUCAAAGUCCCCAUAAAGCCAGAAGAAGGGAAUCACACAGCUGGAGUCAUGGUCCAAAAUAGGAUCUCCACCAUGAAUGUACAUUAUGGGCAAUGUACAGGGAAAAGGGACAGCAGCUCAAACUACUUAUGUGUCGUGAUAAAUGAUUGGCCAGUGUCUCAAAGUGACCUGAAAAAUUACACAGGCUGGACUGGCCAGACUUUCUGAACUGCUGAGUCUGUUUUGUUUGGGCACAUGAUUCAGACCCAGAAAUGAGAAACAACAAGAGGAAGAUCCCAGACCUGCGACGGUUUUGACUUCUGCAAUCCUUUGCUCUCUGCAAGUUGUAAGACAUGUGGGAAUUGUGGCUGCCAGCAGCUGAUGCUCUGUUUUACCCAUCCAACGCAGUAAACCAGUUUGUUUUUCUGUUUGUUGAAAUCCUAUCUGCCCAAACUUCUGAGAGAUGUUUUUAAAGGAUUUUAACAAAGGCCUUUUGCAUGGGAGUCAUUUUGUAUUUUGUGGGCAUCAUCUCAUACAGAGGUAUUUUCUUGAUUAAGUGUAAGUUUUAUUAAGCUCUCUCACUAAAGGAUAUUCCUUCUUCUUCCCCACAUUUCUUUUGCAGUAU
rnacentral:lncRNA from 1 species